UAGAGCCUACGGGGGGCAGCAGUGAGGAAUAUUGGUCAAUGGGCGAGAGCCUGAACCAGCCAAGUCGCGUGAGGGAAGACUGCCCUAUGGGUUGUAAACCUCUUUUGUCAGGGAGCAAUUGGCGCUACGUGUAGCGUUAUCGAGAGUACCUGAAGAAAAAGCAUCGGCUAACUCCGUGCCAGCAGCCGCGGUAAUACGGAGGAUGCGAGCGUUAUCCGGAUUUAUUGGGUUUAAAGGGUGCGUAGGCGGAAUGCCAAGUCAGCGGUAAAAUCGCGGGGCCCAACCUCGCUCCGCCGUUGAAACUG
rnacentral:rRNA from 1 species